rnacentral:rRNA from 2 species
GAGACAGUAACGCCAGUUAUUGUGGAGCCGCUGUUGGGAUACCACCCUUGCAGUAUUGGGUUUCUAACCAGCCGCCGUGACCCGGCGGUGGGACAAUGCCAGACGGGGAGUUUGACUGGGGCGGUCGCCUCCGAAAGGGUAUCGGAGGCGCCCAAAGGUUCCCUCAGAAUGGACGGAAACCAUUCGAAGAGUGCAAAGGCAGAAGGGAGCUUGACUGCGACACCGACGGGUGGAGCAGGUACGAAAGUAGGGCUUAGUGAUCCGGUGGUAUUAAGUGGGAAUGCCAUCGCUCAACGGAUAAAAGCUACCCUGGGGAUAACAGGCUUAUCACUCCCAAGAGUUCACAUCGACGGAGUGGUUUGGCACCUCGAUGUCGGCUCAUCGCAUCCUGGGGCUGUAGUAGGUCCCAAGGGUUGGGCUGUUCGCCCAUUAAAGCGGUACGCGAGCUGGGUUCAGAACGUCGUGAGACAGUUCGGUCCCUAUCCGGCGUGGGCGUAGGAUAUCUGAGAGGAGCUGUCCUUAGUACGAGAGGACCGGGAUGGACGGGCCGCUGGUGCAUCGGUUAGACUGCCAAGUCUACGGCCGAGUAGCCAAGCCCGGAAGGGAUAAACGCUGAAGGCAUCUAAGCGUGAAGCCCCCCUUAAGAUGAGAUAUCCCAUUCGAAAGAAGUAAACCCCCUUGAAGACGACGAGGUAGAUAGGGCAGAGGUGGAAGUG